rnacentral:rRNA from 1 species
UAAAAAAAGGUAAGCUACUAAGAGCGAAUGGUGGAUGCCUUGACUGGUAAAGGCGAUGAAGGACGUACUAGACUGCGAUAAGCUACGGGGAGCUGUCAAGAAGCUUUGAUCCGUAGAUUUCCGAAUGGGGCAACCCAAUGUAUAGAGAUAUACAUUACCUAUAUAGGAGCGAACGAGGGGAAUUGAAACAUCUUAGUACCCUCAGGAAAAGAAAUCAAUAGAGAUUGCGUCAGUAGCGGCGAGCGAAAGCGCAAGAGGGCAAACCCAGUGCUUGCACUGGGGGUUGUAGGACUGCAAUGUGCAAGAGGUAAGUUUAGCAGAACAUUCUGGAAAGUAUAGCCAUAGAGGGUGAUAGUCCCGUAUGCGAAAAACAAACCUUAGCUAGCAGUAUCCUGAGUAGGGCGGGACACGAGGAAUCCUGUCUGAAUCUGGGUCGACCACGAUCCAACCCUAAAUACUAAUACCAGAUCGAUAGUGUACAAGUACCGUGAGGGAAAGGUGAAAAGAACUGAGGUGAUCAGAGUGAAAUAGAACCUGAAACCAUUUGCUUACAAUCAUUCAGAGCCCUAUGUAGCAAUACAGGGUGAUGGACUGCCUUUUGCAUAAUGAGCCUGCGAGUUGUGGUGUCUGGCAAGGUUAAGCAAACGCGAAGCCGUAGCGAAAGCGAGUCUGAAUAGGGCGCUUAGUCAGAUGCUGCAGACCCGAAACGAAGUGAUCUAUCCAUGAGCAAGUUGAAGCUAGUGUAAGAACUAGUGGAGGACUGAACCCAUAGGCGUUGAAAAGCCCCGGGAUGACUUGUGGAUAGGGGUGAAAGGCCAAUCAAACUUCGUGAUAGCUGGUUCUCUCCGAAAUAUAUUUAGGUAUAGCGUUGUGUCGUAAUAUAAGGGGGUAGAGCACUGAAUGGGCUAGGGCAUACACCAAUGUACCAAACCCUAUCAAACUCCGAAUACCUUAUAUGUAAUCACAGCAGUCAGGCGGCGAGUGAUAAAAUCCGUCGUCAAGAGGGAAACAACCCAGACUACCAGCUAAGGUCCCUAAAUCUUACUUAAGUGGAAAACGAUGUGAAGUUACUUAAACAACCAGGAGGUUGGCUUAGAAGCAGCCAUCCUUUAAAGAAAGCGUAAUAGCUCACUGGUCUAGUGAUUUUGCGCGGAAAAUAUAACGGGGCUAAAGUAAGUACCGAAGCUGUAGACUUGCACACAACUUAGAUUAUUUAAGUUUAGAAUAUAAAAAACUAAGUUAUAUGUUUUAAGUUAUAUUUUUACUGAUUUUUAUAGGGUAAAGAUAGAAAUAAAACUUAGUAAAAUCAGUAAAAAUAUUCUUAGGCUAAAGUUAAGUAGUUUAAGUUGUGUGCAAGUGGUAGGAGAGCGUUCUAUUUGCGUCGAAGGUAUACCGGUAAGGAGUGCUGGAGCGAAUAGAAGUGAGCAUGCAGGCAUGAGUAGCGAUAAUUAAUGUGAGAAUCAUUAACGCCGUAAACCCAAGGUUUCCUACGCGAUGCUCGUCAUCGUAGGGUUAGUCGGGUCCUAAGCCGAGUCCGAAAGGGGUAGGCGAUGGCAAAUUGGUUAAUAUUCCAAUACCAACAUUAGUGUGCGAUGGAAGGACGCUUAGGGCUAAGGGGGCUAGCGGAUGGAAGUGCUAGUCUAAGGUCAUAGGAGGUUAUACAGGCAAAUCCGUAUAACAAUACUCCGAGAACUGAAAGGCUUUUUGAAGUCUUCGGAUGGAUAGAAGAACCCCUGAUGCCGUCGAGCCAAGAAAAGUUUCUAAGUUUAGCUAAUGUUGCCCGUACCGUAAACCGACACAGGUGGGUGGGAUGAGUAUUCUAAGGCGCGUGGAAGAACUCUCUUUAAGGAACUCUGCAAAAUAGCACCGUAUCUUCGGUAUAAGGUGUGGUUCGCUUCGUACUAGGAUUUACUCCGAAAGCGAAGAAACUUACAACAAAGAGUCCCUCCCGACUGUUUACCAAAAACACAGCACUCUGCUAACUCGUAAGAGGAUGUAUAGGGUGUGACGCCUGCCCGGUGCUCGAAGGUUAAUUGAUGGGGUUAGCAUUAGCGAAGCUCUUGAUCGAAGCCCGAGUAAACGGCGGCCGUAACUAUAACGGUCCUAAGGUAGCGAAAUUCCUUGUCGGUUAAAUACCGACCUGCAUGAAUGGCGUAACGAGAUGGGAGCUGUCUCAAAGAGGGAUCCAGUGAAAUUGUAGUGGAGGUGAAAAUUCCUCCUACCCGCGGCAAGACGGAAAGACCCCGUGGACCUUUACUACAGCUUGACACUGCUACUUGGAUAAGAAUGUGCAGGAUAGGUGGGAGGCUUUGAGUAUAUGACGCCAGUUGUAUAUGAGCCAUUGUUGAGAUACCACUCUUUCUUAUUUGGGUAGCUAACCAGCUUGAGUUAUCCUCAAGUGGGACAAUGUCUGGUGGGUAGUUUGACUGGGGCGGUCGCCUCCCAAAUAAUAACGGAGGCUUACAAAGGUUGGCUCAGAACGGUUGGAAAUCGUUCGUAGAGUAUAAAGGUAUAAGCCAGCUUAACUGCAAGACAUACAAGUCAAGCAGAGACGAAAGUCGGUCUUAGUGAUCCGGUGGUUCUGUGUGGAAGGGCCAUCGCUCAAAGGAUAAAAGGUACCCCGGGGAUAACAGGCUGAUCUCCCCCAAGAGCUCACAUCGACGGGGAGGUUUGGCACCUCGAUGUCGGCUCAUCGCAUCCUGGGGCUGGAGCAGGUCCCAAGGGUAUGGCUGUUCGCCAUUUAAAGCGGUACGCGAGCUGGGUUCAGAACGUCGUGAGACAGUUCGGUCCCUAUCUGCCGUGGGCGUAAGAAGAUUGAAGAGAUUUGACCCUAGUACGAGAGGACCGGGUUGAACAAACCACUGGUGUAGCUGUUGUUCUGCCAAGAGCAUCGCAGCGUAGCUAAGUUUGGAAAGGAUAAACGCUGAAAGCAUCUAAGCGUGAAGCCAACUCUAAGAUGAAUCUUCUCUAAGCUCUCUAGAAGACUACUAGUUUGAUAGGCUGGGUGUGUAAUGGAUGAAAGUCCUUUAGCUGACCAGUACUAAUAGAGCGUUUGGCUUAUCUUUAAUAAAGCAU